UAGUCUUUACAGUGGAGGUCUAUUGCUAGUUUAAUAAAUAGGCUUUAAAAUGCGGUUCAUUCAAGGGAUUGAUGGUAUGGGAGUCUAGAUUCGAGCACAUGCCAUGUGAUAGCUUCCACAAGACUCCAUAUCUGUACAGCCGACACUCCAGUUCUGUUUUACAUAGAAGUGAAAGCUAAUACAUACCUAGAGAGUUGUAGAUGGAUACCAAAGCAUUUGAACAUGGUUUUAAUUCUUCUCAUAGCUGUGAGAAUCAAGUCCAAAGCAAUAACUCAGAAGACAACAAAACAAAAGUUUCGAGCUGAGAAGUCAGAGCGCGCAGUUGUCUGUCCAAACUACCUACUCCACAGACAUUACAACUUGUUUUAAAUAAAAUUGAUUAUCGAAA
rnacentral:sRNA from 1 species